rnacentral:rRNA from 1 species
AGUGAACGCUGGCGGUAGGCCUAACACAUGCAAGUCGAACGGCAGCACAGUAAGAGCUUGCUCUUACGGGUGGCGAGUGGCGGACGGGUGAGGAAUACAUCGGAAUCUACUUUUUCGUGGGGGAUAACGUAGGGAAACUUACGCUAAUACCGCAUACGACCUACGGGUGAAAGCAGUGGAUCUUCGGACCUUGCGCGAUUGAAUGAGCCGAUGUCGGAUUAGCUAGUUGGCGGGGUAAAUGCCCACCAAGGCGACGAUCCGUAGCUGGUCUGAGAGGAUGAUCGGCCACACUGGAACUGAGACACGGUCCAGGCUCCUACGGGAGGCAGCAGUGGGGAAUAUUGGACAGUGGGCGCAAGCCUUAUCCAGCCAUACCGCGUGGGUGAAGAAGGCCUUCGGGUUGUAAAGCCCUUUUGUUGGGAAAGAAAAGCAGCAGGUUAAUACCCCGCUGUUCUGACGGUAACCAAAGAAUAAGCACCGGCUAACUUCGUG